UACGUAGGGUGCAAGCGUUGUCCGGAAUUAUUGGGCGUAAAGAGCUCGUAGGUGGUUUGUCGCGUUGUCCGUGAAAUUCCCUGGCUUAACUGGGGGCGUGCGGGCGAUACGGGCAGACUGGAGUACUGCAGGGGAGACUGGAAUUCCUGGUGUAGCGGUGGAAUGCGCAGAUAUCAGGAGGAACACCGGUGGCGAAGGCGGGUCACUGGGCCGCAACUGACGCUGGAGGAGCGAAAGCAUGGGGAGCGAACAGG
rnacentral:rRNA from 1 species